rnacentral:lncRNA from 1 species
UGACCUGCAGCCAGCUCUGUGUAUGAGGGUGUGACCCGGGGACAGCGCUACUGCAGCCUUCAGGUUUCCUGGGACUCCUCAGCUCCUCAUUCUUUGUAGGAAAGUCUGAGUUUGCAGAUUUGAGGUCCAAGGUAAGUAUUUCAGAUCUUUAUUGGAAAAUCUCAAAGUAACAUCCUAAGUGAAUUUGGGGAACAGAAGCCUAAUUUUCUGAGAUCCAAGAAAACUUGCAUUCUAUGCUUCCUCUUGAUUCUUCAAAAAUGCCUUAACUCUCUUGGCCCUCUGCUCUGCUGUGUAAAUCUACAAUCAGCCUCUCAGUUUAUACAUGCACAUGCACACCACACGCACACCACACACACACACACACACAUGCGCGCGCGCGCACAGAGAACCUGUCGGGAAUUAGGAUUGCAUCAAAUCCACAGAUCACUACCGGAAGAAGUAAUAUUCUUCUCAGUAUUGACUCUUACAAUUUGUAACAUGAUAUAUCCCUUCCUUCUUUUAUUUGGAACUCAGUAAUAUAUCUCAGUGAUGAUGAUAAUUUUCUGUAGGUCAUGCACAUUAUUUGUAAGACUUAUUCCUAGGUGUUAAUGUUUUAUGUUCUUACAAAAGAAGUACUUUUAACAUUUAAUUUUCUAAGGGUUACUGUUAUUAGAAAUAAGAUUGUUUGCAGCCAAUAUUGAUUUUUUUUAAAUUUUUUAUUGUUGGUUGUUCAAAACAUUACAUAGUUCUUGAUAUAUCAUAUUUCACACUUUGAUUCAAGUGGGUUAUGAGCUCCCAUUUUUACCCCAUAUACAAAUUGCAGAAUCACAUCAGUUACACAUCCAUUGAUUUACAUAUUGCCAUACUAGUGUCUGUUGUGUUCUGCUGCCUUUCCUAUCCUCUACUAUCCCCCCUCCCCUCCCCUCCCCUCCCUUCUUCUCUCUCUGCCCCCUCUACUGACAUUCAUUUGUCCCCCUUGUANUUGGCAUUUGUUUUUUAGGGAUUGGCUAGCUUCACUUAGCAUAAUCUGCUCUAAUGCCAUCCAUUUCCCUGUAAAUUCUAUGAUUUUGUCAUUUUUUAAUGCAGAGUAAUACUCCAUUGUGUAUAAAUGCCACAAUUUUUUUAUCCAUUUAUCUAUUGAAGGGCAUCUAGGUUGGUUCCAUAGUCUUGCUAUUGUGAAUUGUGCUGCUAUGAACAUCCAUGUCCCAACCACUCCUCCCAAUAUUGAUUUUGUAUCCAGCAUCCUUCUGAAAUUCACUCAAUGAUUCUAAUUAAGUUGUAGAUUCUUUCAUAUUUUCUGUAGAUAAAAAUCCUGCUACCCGAAACUCUGGGUCUUACAUCUCCAUUUCUCUUUCUUACUUUAUCAUACUGACGAGCACUUCCAAUGAAAAUAUUGAAUAAUCCCAUUAUCUUUCAAUUGAUUUUUGUCAAAUUUCACUCAGCAGUUUACCCAUUUGAGAAAGACAACUUUAAAAUUAUCUUCUUUCAAAAAGUUGCAAUUUGAGCUGUCAUGGUUCUGUAACUGAGGAAAACAAAACACAGGCUCUAUGGAUUCCAUAGAGAAGAAAUUGAAGUCAAAUGAUGCAGGGAUCAACUUGGCCAGAUGAGGGGGAAGUGGGUAGAUAACUUCUAUGAUUAAAUAAAGAAUAUUUCUUUUCUGUGAAAAUUUCACAGGAUUUAACUUUAUCAUAUUUUUAAGUACUCAAACAUAAAUUCACUUUAUGAUCCCUAUUUGGUUAUAAACAAAAUAAAACCCAGAAACAUUGGGUUUUCAUCUGGCAACAGAGGCAGCAUAGACUAUUGGAUUCUCAGAUCUCAGAAAAUGAGGCUUUCUUUUCCCAAAAUCUCCCAUGUAGCUUUAAGAUUUCUCCCUGAAAGAUUUGAAGCAAUUACCUCUGUCUGUGGAUUUGCAAAGUCAGUACCUCACUGUCUUAAUUAAAGUUGCUUUUUGGUGAGUCGGGGAGGCUUCAGACACUGGCUCUCUGCUCUAGGUGGCCUCUGCCCUCAGACUGGGCACAGGAUGGUGGAGGGAGAAGGAGGCCGUGGAGUCUUUCUCAGGGAUCCAUCAAUAUCUCAGCUUACUUUGCUUCUCCUCUGACUCAUUUUCAUUCCCAGCCAAGAGACUCUUAAUCUAGUCUCCAAGGUGGAGACCUCUGCCCUCCAUCUAAUCAUAUAUCCUUUCAAAUUUAUUUUUAUGUUCUGACUUCUUUCCUAUACUCUCUUGAGAGAUAGGCUUUUGAAAUCCAAAAGCCCGAGAUUUACUUCUGCUUUCUUUUACAUCAUCCCUCCCUGAGCUAAUGAAUUAUUAUGACUAAAUUGGCAGCAGAGCAAAGACCAUAAAGAAAUGUUAAGGAGAAAACUAAAUCAUGUCUGAAAAUAUCAUCCUACCCGAUUUAUCUAGAGUUAUAAAGAUAAAUAUGGGCCAAAUAUAAACAUUGGGAAGUUUUGAGGAAGUAGAUGAUGAGCUAGAGUAAGUCGGAAAAGCCUUAUUGUAACAAUUAAACUAAAAUUAAUUCAGUGGCCUUAUCUGAUAACUCAUUUUCUAUGGCAUAUCAAUUGGCCCAGGAAAGAUUUUAAUCAGGGAAAACUAAAAUACACAUGUCAGGGCCUCUCUUCAUCCCUCAACUUCAUUAUUCCAUGAACUGCUUACAUCUAGUUACUGUGGGACCCAGAGGGCCUGUUAGUGGAGACUCCAAAUGCUUAACACCCUGCCCCAUAUGGGGAUUGAACCCAGGGGCCCUAUACUGCUCAGCCACAUACCCAGCCCUUUAUAAAAAUUUUUGAGGCAGAGUCUAACUAAGUUGCCCAGGCUGAGCUUGAACUUGAAGUCCCUCUGCUUCAGCCUCCUGAGUAGAGGGGAUUAAAGACAUGCAACAACAUGCAAAACCUGUAAGUGGUUUCCAAAUGAAUAUUUGGUAUCUUAAAAAUUCCUGUUAUAAUCAAAUCAUCUCGGGUUGACAGAAUGCAUUGUUUAAAAAUGUUAAGUUUAAGUAAAUAAAAAUGGAAAAAGUAAUUAGAGAUAUGUGUACUUUGAUGUAACUUAUACUCCCUUCCAGGGUAUACACACAGUCAAGUUAGUAAUUUUUAUAGUUUUUAAGUUAUUUUAAAUAGCACGUAUGUAAAUAAAUUUAUAUAAAUAAGUAAAUUUGCUCAUGAAAUAUUUUAUUGGAGACUGAAAAAAGUGAAAGCUAGUUUUAAAGCUCAAGAGAUUACUUUUUAUUUGUGCUCUUCUUUUUAGUAACCACCAGAUGACCUGCUGUGCUCUCCAGGACACCACUUUUGGUCAAGCAGUGUAGCACCAUCACCCCAAGGACGUCUGUCAUCUGUGUUCAUGCUGUCCGAUUAUAGAUCCAGCUGCUUACUGAAUUUCCUUAAUUGACUAUCUACUCUAGGGCCUAAGAUCUGAAUAUCAUUCCUAUGUCUCUUUCCCUCACUGCUCACAGCUACCUAAUUCACAAAAGUUAAUUGUCCUUGAAUCUCUUCAUCCCCCUCCAUAUCUACUAUGAGUACUCUAGACUUUUACCAUCAAGGAUCUGAAAAACUACAGAAGAUAGCUGACUUUCUCUCUCAUCAUCCUCUGAUCUAUUAUCCACAUUGCAACCAACAAGAAAAUUUUAAUUGACACAUAGCUGAACAUAUAUGGGGGCUCAAUGUGAUAUUACAGUGGAUGUAUGUAAUACGCAAGGAUCAGAUGGGGUAACUGGCAUCCAUCGCCUUGGGCAUCGAUCAUUUCUUUGUGCCAGGAACUUUCAAGAUUCUCUCUAAUAGCUAUUUUGCGGUAUUUAACUGUUACCAACCACAGUUACCCUGCUGUGAUACAGAAGGUUAGCAAUUAUUCCUCCCACCCCACUUCACCCCUGUUUGCAUUGCCAGUCCUCUCCACCCCUCCUUUCUCCACGCUGCCCCCAGGCUGUGUGACCACUAUCCUAUUCAACUCUUUGCAAAUGUCUUAGUGUCCACUACAAGUGGGGAUGUGCAAUGUCAUCUUUCUGUGCCUGACUUAUUUCACUUAACACAUUGACCUCUAGUUCCAUCCCUGAGGAUGAAAGUGACAGAAUUUCAUUCUUCUUUAUGGCUGAGGAAAACUCCAUUGUGUAUACGUACCACAUUUCCUUUUUCCAUUCAUCUGUUGAUGGACACCCACGCUGAUCAGAUCUUGGCUGUUGUGAAUAUGUGAAUGCAGGUGUCUCUGCAGUAAAACUAUUUCUAUUUCUUAGGAUGUGUAAAGUGGGAUUCCCAGCAAGGUCUCUCUGAAUGGCACCAGGCAGCUCCAUUUCCUGGCUUAGAGGAGUUUCAGCUGCAUCUUACUGCAACCCACUGCCAAGGCACAAGCCUCCUCUCCGCCCCUCGAAGCAGAAGUAGGUGUUCUUUAUGAAUUCCUCUUCUUAGAAUCAGUUGUAAUUUGAUUCUUUCUCUUUCCUUACAGAGAAGAAAUACUAUUGUUAUGUUUAUUAUUGAGUCCCCAAUGCCUCAGCCAUAAACAUAAACAGGUGUUAAUUAAUAACAGUCUGAACAAAUAAAUUGGGCUUUGUGUAGCCAGAGCUUGGGAAGUCUUUUCACUUUUCACUAGUAUUUAACCACUUACUAUGCUUCACCAUUUAGGAACAUUUAACAUCGAGUUGCUUCCAAAGAGGAACCCCUUGAUUUACCCAUGAACUAGAGGUCUUGGCUGUAUGGUGUCUGUUUGCUGGUGCCUUUUAGGAAGAACACAGCUUAUCACCACCUGGACACCUCUCUGUCUCUGCUUUUUGAAGACAAGUGCUUUAAGCUUUUUCUUCUGCCUCCAAAUCAAUAGCUUAGCUGAAAGACAUAAACAAUAUCCCUCUAUCUUUCUGUCUCCUCAGUAACCAUCAUGAGUAGGAUUAAAUGCUUUUUGUUGUUGUUGUUUUGAUACAAAUCUCCUUUGAGGAUUGGAAACACACGUCCAGUCUACAUCAGAGCAUCAUUCUGAAAACAUAUUGAAGGAACUUUUAAAAAUAUACACAUAAAUCAAUUUCCUCAUAAGUGGUCAUUUCAGAAUCUCAGCUCUCAGGGAGGUAAAUGUCCACUGUCAUAAUGUAGUUUCGGCUGCACUUUACAUACAAACAAUUUGAGCCCCAGAAAAGCUUCCUGCACAUACAACUUGAUGAGCCACUAGCCGUGACCUCUAUUUCCUUGAAAUUCCUGUCAUGACAAUGGUGCCACGUGGGCUCUCUGUAACAGAUCCUCUCCCUUAUGAGUCUCAAAAGACUAAACCAUCACCAUCAUAAACACCAGUGUCCAGAAAGAUAUCCAGAAAUUUACCAAAUUAAAUGUACCAAAUAGAUGUUUUUUUUAAUUAAACUUUUUUUUUUUUUUAGUAAACUUUGGAAACAGAGGGCUCAUCCUCCAGAAAAAAAGAAAAGGAAAGAGCAGCAAGAGGAAGAAAAGAUGAAUAAGGAGACUUUGGAGAUGCUUCGGUCAGUUAGCAGGAGCCCAGGUGAGGGGGGACGGAAGCCCCAUUCUCAGACUAAAAGGAGCCAGCCAGAGAGACCCCAAGGACAGGCAGAGGGCGCAUCGCCAGAGCGUACAGGAGCAAGUGCGGUUGCCGGGCUGCUGCCUGUCCUCCCUCAUCUGGCCCUCUGGUUUCUAUUUGAGGUCAGCUUCUUCCUCCACUCACAGGGCCCAUCCUGGAUGCACCAUCUCUGUUAGCAUCUGUGUUGCCCGGAGGGUGCUUCCUUGUGUCCUUGAAGCAUUUCCUAAGGUAUGACUCCAACUGUUUGGAUUCCAGGUGUCAUGGAUGCCAACCCAUCAAUCAAAGAUGAACAUCCUUGUCUCCCACAGAGACUAGACUGUUUCCACUUCUGUCUGGAAGGCUCUCCCUGACGAGAGGCGGAGGGCUGUAAUUGCUCUCAAAAUGUAUAAUCACAUCUUACACAUUCCCCAGCACAGAGAAGCAUUUCCAAGUAAGAGAAUCAUAAAAAUACUACAAUAAAUUCUGAAUCUUUGUUUAAAAAAACCUUGCAUAAAAGCCCUGGAAUGUUAGAAAAUCUUCAGAGAUUGAAUGAUUUUCUCUGGAAAGUUGGCAUGUUUGCAAAAACACGGCUGUUAACUCACCUCCUAAUUGGCUUCAGAGUUGCUUGCCUAUCUUAUUUAUAGUUAAUGGCCCACUCUGUACGUGGGAGUCUCUCCUUCAGAGUUAAGCAGCCCGAUUUAAGAGUAAGCUUUCUUCUCUUCACAAGUGUAACAAAGCCAAGACACCCGUACAAUCAGGUUUGCUAAUUUAAUAGUUUGGGAUGUCUUGAUUAUGGUCUAUCCUGGAACUAAGCCUUUCCAGAACAGCCGCCAUCCUUGAUCCAUCUUGGCAUUCUGGAACACACCUGCCACAACCAAGGGCUUCCCAUCCAGUUGGUGAGUCAUUAAAAUAUAUUGAAUGAACACAUAUUCUACCAAGUAAUAGAGAAACAAAACUAAUGAGACUGAAACCUUCUGGCCUCUCAUAUCAAAUGCUAACUUUCAUAUUUGGUCCAGGGUAAUUUUUCACAAAUAGAGCAAUUCAUAAGUUAAGAGGAAGUUAAUGAUGUCCAGAGCACUAGGUAAAAUCUCCCUUAGAAAAGAGAAAAUGCAAUUGGUUUUUCCCCACUUAAUAAACCUUCAAGUCUGCACCCGAAGGCUUUUGAGCUUUGUGUACAUCGGGUUUCCUUAUAGGCACAAAAAGGUAAUAAACACUUACUGUUCAGCAGUUUGUAAAAUGGCAUUGGGGAGCUCUGCCUUCAGAAUGUGUGUGACUUAGAUUGAAUCCACUGUACUCGU